rnacentral:piRNA from 1 species
UAGUAUUCAAAAUGAAAACUG